CGGGGGUGGGGCUGUGGUUCCGGUGCGCGGCGGCGGCAGCAGCAGCGGGAUGAAUGAGGUGGAGGGGCUGCGACAGCGGCGACUGCCCCGCCCGCAGGUCAUCACCGACGACAGCCCGGCGCAGGAGGCCAAGGAGGGCAGUACUUACAGCAGCAAGGUGUUCCGUGUUACCUUCUUGACUUUGGCUGCGUCUCUGACUGUGCCACUGCUUGGAGUAACUGUUCUACUGGAUUGUCCUAUAGACCCUCAGCCUAUAAGUUUGAAGGAACCUCCCCUCCUGACGGGUGUACUAGAGCCCAAUAUCAAGUUACGAAAAGCUGAGCGGUUAUGGGAAAACCAGCUGUAUGGACCAGAGUCCAUUGUCAAUAUUGGGGAUAUACUAUUUACUGGGACAGCUGAUGGGAAGAUUAUCAAAAUUGAAGAUGGGGAAAUACAAACAAUAUCCAGAAUUGGCCAUGGUCCUUGUGGAACCCACGAAGAUGAGCCAACGUGUGGAAGACCACUUGGCAUCAGAGUUGGGCCAAAUAACACUCUUUUUGUGGCAGAUGCUUAUUAUGGACUCUAUGAAGUUGAUCCUGAUACAGGUGAAACGAAAAUGCUUGUGUCAACCAAAACAGUAAUUGAAGGUCAGAAGUUGUCAUUUGUAAAUGAUCUUACAGUGACCCGGGACGGGAGGAAAAUCUACUUCACUGACUCCAGUAGCAAAUGGCAAAGACGAGACUACUUAUUCUUGAUUAUGGAAGGCACAGAUGAUGGGCGCCUCCUUGAAUAUGACACAGUAACAAAAGAAGUGAAAGUCUUAAUGGUGGGGCUGAGGUUUCCCAAUGGUGUGCAGCUCUCUCCUGCAGAAGACUUCGUCCUGGUGCAGGAGACAGCCAUGGCUAGAAUCAGGAGGUAUUAUGUAUCUGGGCUGAUGAAAGGUGGAGCAGAUAUGUUUGUUGAGAACAUGCCUGGUCUUCCAGAUAAUAUCAGGUUAAGCAGCUCUGGAGGAUAUUGGGUAGCUAUGGCAGCUGUCCGGCACAAUCCUGGAUUUUCUUUGUUGGAUUUCUUGGCUGAAAAACCAUGGAUUAAAAAGAUGAUAUUUAAGUUGCUGAGUCAGGAAACCGUGACAAAUUUUGUGCCCAAAUAUAGCCUUGUUGUUGAACUUACUGAGACAGGAUCCUACAGAAGAAGCUUUCAUGAUCCCAAUGGAGUGAUGGUAGCUUAUGUUAGCGAGGCACAUGAACACAAUGGAUAUCUUUACCUGGGUUCCUUCCGGUCUCCGUAUAUUUGCAGAAUUAAUCUUCAGCAUGUUUAACUGUCCCUCCAUGAUGAAGUCCCACUGUCCUAUAGUAUUCCAGAGGUACAAAGGAAGCAUAUAUUUGAGGCAGUUUGUGACCAAGGACAAAAAGUGAAAGAUAGUCUGUUAACAUGCAGUAGCACUGUUGCCAUAGGAAAACAUACAGCUUGCUGUACCUGUUCUCUUCCUUGAUUUGACUGCUCAUGUUUUGGAGUUGGUGUGCAUAAUUGUUAAUAUCUGAAGAGUAUGGUGGGGCAUCUUCAUUCAGUUAUUUGUUCCUCAGAGAACCUCCACUGCUUUUCCAUGCCCAGCCCUGUUUGGAGUCAUCUUAAACAGACAUCAUUGUGUUGCCUUUAAUGCAACUGUAUGUCUUCUUACACUGGAAGGAUUUGUGAUGUAUGGAAUUUAAUUAUGUGAUAUUUGAAUAGAAGAUAAUGGCUUGCAUGUGUUUAUUUCUAUUUUAGAACCUGCUGUUUAGGAUUACAGUAUAUAUUCUGAUGUCAUACCAUGGUGCUGUGGUAGAGGCAGCAACAUCCAGAAAUCAACAACAUGCGUAGAAAUUUAGUUAGACCAUUGGGUUUCUUCAAUUCCAACCUGUAUACUCUGCUUGGUAAAUCCAGACAAUGCUUUUCUGUCAACUGUUGCAAAGGAAAACAUCUUCAGAGGCUCAACUUAAAUGCCUCUAUGAAAAUACACACAGCAUGGGGAAUAAGCAAGAGUUAAAGAUGUGCAUGUGCCUGCCUGUGGUCUCAUUGGCAUCACAGAAAUGUGGUGGCAUGGCUUCUAUGACUGGAGUGUUGAAAGGAUACAGGAUCUUGAGGAAGGACAGGCAGGAGGCAUGAGGAGAGGGUGUUGCCCUCUGUGUCAGUGACCAGCAGGAGUGCAUGGAGCUCUGCCUGCGGAUGAAUGAGGAGCUGACCGAGGGGUUAAGGGUCAGGAUUAAAGAGAGAGCAGGGACAGGUGACGUUAUAGUGGGGGUCUGCUACAGGCCACCCAGCCAGGAAGACUGAGUGGAUGAAACUGCCUAUAGACAGGAGGGGCCACACGUUCACAGUUCCUGGUCUUCAUGGGGGAUUUCAAUAACCCCGACAUCUGUUGGAGGGACAACACAGCAGGGCAAAAGCAAUCCAGGAGGUUCCUGGAAUGCAUUGACAGUAACUUCCUUCUCCAAGUGAUAGAGGAGCCAAGGAGAAGUGCUAUGCUGGACCUUUUGCUCACCAACAAGGAGAGGCUGGUGGGGAAUGUGAAGCUCAAAGGCAGCCUUGGGUGCAGGGACCAUGAAGUGUUGGAGUUCAAGGUCCUUAGGGCAGUGAGGAGGGCACAUAGCACAUUGCUCCUGCCCUGGCCUUCAGGAGGGCAGACUUUGGCCCCUUCAGGGGUCUGGUUGGUAGAGUGCAAUGGGAUAAAGCCCUGGAGGGAAGAAGGGCCCAAGAAAGCUGGUUGAUAUUCAAGGGUCACCUCCUCCAAGCUCAGGAGUGAUGCAUCCCAACAGAGAGAAAGUUGGGCAGAAGUGCCGGGAGGCCUGUGUGAAUGAACAAGGAGCUCCUGGACAAACUCAAACACAAAGUGGAAGCCUACAGAGGGUGGAAGCAGUGGCAGGAAGCCUGGGAGGAAUACAGAGAUUGUGUGAAUAGCCGGAAUCAGGUUAGGAAAGCCAGAGAAAGCCUGAGAGAAUUAAACCUGGCCAACAACAUGAAGGGCAACGAGAAAAACUUCCAUGUGUAUGUUGACGAUAAAAGAAAGACUAGGAAUAAUGUGAGCCCUCACUAGAAUGAAAGGGACAACCUGUUUACUGGGACAUGGCAAAGGCUGAGAUACUCAACAACUUUUUUGCUUCUGUCUUCACCAGCAAGUGCUCCAGCCACACUGCCUGAAUUGCAGAAGGCAAAGGCAGGGACUAGGAGAAUGAACCAGUCCACUGUAGGAGAAGAUCAGGUUCAAGACCAUCUAAGGAACAUGAAGGUGCACAGGACCUGUUGAAAUGCAUCCAUGGGUUCUGAGGGAGCUGCUGGAUGAAGUGGCUAAGUCACUAUCAUAUUUGAGAAGCUGUGGCAGUCUGGUUAAGUUCCCAUCAUCUAGAAAAGGGAGAAAAUAACCCCCAUUUAAAAAAAAAGGGAAAAAAUGAAGACCUAGGGCACUACAGGCCAGUCAGUCUCACCUCUGUGCCUGGCAGGAUCAUGGAGCACAGAGAGACUGGAACAUGUUGCCCAGAGAAGUUGUCUUGAACCCUGGAUGGGGUUCAAGGCCAGGCUGGAUGGGGCUUUGAGCAACCUGUUCUAAUGGAAGAUGUCCCUGAUGAUCUCUUAGGUCCCUCCCAACACCAUGCAUACUAUGAUUUUAAAUGAGAGGUUUUUGCAUCUUGGAGAACUAAAGGGUUCAGCAGCUUUGUGAUUUAGUGCAUUGAUUUGUACUUUGGAACUGAAGCUUUUGCUGCUCUCUCCUUUUCUGCCACUGGGUGACAGUCAAAUAUAAACGUACGUUAUUGCUCAAUUUCCUCAUCUUUGAAAAGGAAAUAAUUAAGUCUUGCUGUAUAUGUAAUGCAAAGCACCAUAGACGGGGAAGAUGAUAAAAAUGUCAUCCACUUUCACUGGCCUUCUAUGCUUCUCUCUAUUAAUGGAGGCCUAUGCGAAUGAAAAUUAUUCUUUCUUGUCAGCGCUUCUGUCACCUUGUUCUGUGUUAAUUCCAGGCUGCAGCAGUCCUGUGGCAAGUAGAAAUGUUUAUGGAUGAUGGUUGCUGGAUCAGGCUGACUUCUUCCUGUACAGGCCAGGAGCUGCAAACCCUAUUGCUUAGUAUGGUGGUUACUCAAUUUGGGAGGGUGUUCAGUAAGAUGCCAAAGAAGCUUAAUAGAUGAGUUGCUGCAGGCUCUGACCUUUGGUGCAGCUGAACCCUAUCUUAAUAGUUUGUGGACAGAGAUGGAGUGAUACUGUGGUAACUUUGAAAGGCUGGAGAGGUGUAACUGCUUCAGGCGUGGGCAGACUUACUGCUGUGAGAACUCUGAAGAAGGGCUGAGAAUGGGACAUGCUUGCAAUGUCUCUUUUUGGGAAAGCCCAGCCCAGGGCAGGCUGUUUCAGCAUCAGCUGAUUAACACUGCCCUGCCAACCCUUGGAACUAUUUGUCCUAUUCUGGACGGAUGUAAAAGUUGAACUUGAUGGGAUCUUAAAUUGGGGUUGAAAAAGCAAGUCUGCUGUGGUGAUUCUUUUAUGCUGAUGCUUUGGUACCCGAGGGGCAAGCACGGCUUUGCCUCUUGAGACAUAGUUAUCUCUAGUGAUUCGUUUGCCAAAGUAUCCAACUGGAGAUUUUCUGAGAAACUUUUCCUGACUUUUGCAGUGAAGUAGACCUCCACUGUUUUGACAUGCCAAAUGUGAUGGCUUUUGUGUGACUAAUUCCCUUUUAAGACAGUUUCCCCAAAGUUAUGAAGUGGGAAAGCAAAUAAGUUGUAGUGCUGUGGAUGCUCAAGAGUGUAAGUCAUAUGAAAACUUGUCUCUUGGGAGUUUUUUAGUUCGGAUUCUUUUUCUACUCCUCUAACCCUUCGCUCCUUCCUGGCCAUUGCUGGAGAUAACUUAGUACACUGUGGUCUUGUCUUUUUUAGUUCUGUUUGAGCUUUGGAACAAGUACAGCUGACCCAGAUAUCAUCAAAUAACUUGCUUUUCUUGGGGAAGGGGAAAAGAGAAUGCCAAAUAUGAGUGGUAUUUAACAGAGUGUGGCUUUGUCUGGUGUGACUUUUGAGUGCUCUAGUCCAAGCUGUCAAACUGUGGCCAGGUGUAUCUCAGGGGCAGGUGCAAGAAGACUAGAAAUGUUUAUGGCAGAACUGAAGCCCAGAAGCAACUUCCCCUAACCUGAACAUAGUUAAUGCCCUUAUUCACUGGGGCUAUUACCUUCUGAACUCUUCUUUUAAUCUUGUGAUAGCAGGGAGGGUUGUUCUGCCAGGUGCCAUAGUCAGGAGAGAAGGCUGGGCACCACAAACAUAUUGGAGCUGUCUGCACAAGAGUCUUCCGAGAGGGAUCAAUUUGCAUGUAAAAUCUGGCAAGUCAGUGGUGAAAGCUAGUGCUGUGGCAGGGAAGAAGCUGAGCUAAUGCCAUGGGUACUUGGGUUCUUUGUUGUCCCUGAUGUCUCAUGGGAGCUCAGUCACUACUUUUUCCAUUGUGGCUGGUGGUGCAGGUUUGUUGCUGGCCAGACCUCUUCAGCUGUGAAAUGCAGCUCUAACCACAGCUGCAUUCGAAAUAACUGCAGGCAGACACCCCUUUGCACUGAGAGCAGGAUGUGAAUUCUGGGAGUAGGGGUCAGAGGCAAGCAAGAAUUUGUGCCCAUGAAAUUUGUAGUUUCUGAUAUCUUGCCCUACCUGUCUUUCAUCCACCUCGGGCAAUAGAAAUUUUCCAUCGUUCUUGUCUAUGCUACAUUGGAAAGCAGCUGAAUAACUUGUCAGUCUAAAUGAGUUUGUCUAAAGGUUAAGCGUUUGGACAAAGUGCGGUUUUCAGUUAAAUUUCUCAGAAUGAAAAAAGCCUGAUUGUUGAGCCUGUACAAAUAGAGGGAGUUGAUUGGGUACAAGUCCAGUCAGUCAGUAGUACCCUUAAAAAAACAUAAAGACUGCUGAAGUCUGUAAAACCCCAAAUAUAAACUCUGGUAGGUGGCACAAUUCUAAGCAAAAAACUUUGCACAGUGACAGGCUACUUAACCAGGCCACUGGCAUUUAAUUUGUUGUAAGAACCUUAACAUCUUAACACUUAGUUUUAUCUGAAGCUUUGUCUACAUAAAUAAACUGUGUUUGGCCCUGCAAGUCAGAGGUCAACCUGAAGUGGAGUGGGAUGGUGGUAUGUGAAGCACCAAGGUCUAGGAGAAAGCCAGCAUGCUUGAUGCUUUCUGGUGAGAGAGAUGCCUGGCCCAAGAUGGCUGAUGCUUCCAUGGCCACUAAAAUGGAAAGGAGGCCAGUUACUGUUGUGGUGACUACAAUGUUGGUGGGGGACCAGAGUGGAACUGCAGAACCAAGUAGAGGUAUCAUUGUGCAGUUUAAGGCUAUUAUGACAAGUAUCUGAAUGCAGGGUCUGCAUACCUCCAGUCCAAGGAGACCUGAAGUCUGCUGAGGCUGAAAGGAGGUGCCUUUCCUGAGAGCAGAUGGUGUUGGCUCCCAUUCCUGCUGCUGUGCUGGAUCCUGAUAAUGCAGAAAUGGGGCGAUCUGUUGUAAAACCCAGAUGAAACAGGUUGACCGACACACAGAUCUCUCAUUAUUCGGCAUAAGGGGUUCUUAAGGACAAUAUUUUUCUAGAAACUCAGGGUUUUCUAGUCCUUAACAGUUCCUCAAAUACAAUUCUCCCAGAGUAAAAGAGCAAUGCUAAAAUGCCUGUGGAAUAAACAAACUGACAUAAUCUCCUCUUGAUGCUUCCAUGGAGACUAGUUUUACAGGCUCGUUCCACUUCCACAGAGGCAUCAGUCAAUGGCAUGUUGGUUUCAGAUGCACGUGUACAUACCUGCCUUGUGCAAGGAGAAAGCUGGAACAAGUCAGGCUUGAAAAAAACCAGCCAGUCUUCUUGAUGAUAUCAGUGCAGGAACAUGACACCUUUGCAGCUCUGAGACUGUUUUCUAGUGUGAAAACAUGGCCUUACUGGAAGCAGCGAGAGGUAUCCAAAGAUCUUGCCAGAGCGAGAUUGGUUUUUGGUGGCAGAAGAAAGGGGCUGCAGUUCCCUAAAAAGGGAGGAAACCCUGUCUGCAUAACUCCCAGAGGAACCUGAGGCUGCUUCCUGUGUCUUAUCCAAGCCUCUUUUGGGACAUACUAUGGCAUAUGAAAGAAUAUUGCUCUGUCUCCUGAAGGACUUGGAGAAAUUUUUGCUUUAGUGUAAAGCCUUGCAGUGAAACAACGUAAGGCAAGGAACUAAGCUGGAGUACUCCGUGGCUGUGCAUUCUAAAGAUGUGUUUUGUUUUGCCUUGUUGGUGGAACAGAUGUUCCUGCAGGGCACAAGUAUCAGGAAGAUUUUGCUGAAGCUAUUUAAAAUGUUACUCCACAGCUUACUGCCCUGUCUCUUUUCUGUAGCAAACUUCUCCUUUAGUAGAGCUGCUGGAAGAUAACUCACGUAUCCCUCUGACGCUUUUAUGCAAAAGUUGGUUUCUCAGUGUAAACAGCUGAUGAAAGUGAUUGCAAAGCCUUGGCAUAAGUCUGAUUCCUUUAAAUCUGUGUCUGCUUUGUGUCAGUGACCUUUGGAGGUGAGAUGAUGACCUCUAGGUCUGUCUGUUCAGUGAUCACAACAGAGAUCUGAUGAUGCUGACACCUGGGCCUUCUUAUCUAGCUGCAAAGAGCACAUAAGGCAGCUAAUUUCUGCUAAUUUGUUUGAGAUAUGGACUGAAAAAUUUUGCAGUAAGUGAUUGUAGUUAGCUAUAUACAAGGCUUUUUCCUCGUAGCCAGCAGCAGUCAUGUCUCCUUAUCUAGCUGCUGCCGAUUAAACCUUGUCUUGGUUCUGUGCACUGCAUGUGUGACUCCCCUAGCUGUGAGUUCUGAAAGUCAGUGAGGUUGUGAAAUUGGGUACACCUGGUAUAGGCAGGACUUUCAAGUCCUUAAUGUAGAGCUAUUGAUGUGAAGAGAAUGCAGAGUGAAAGUCUGUCAGUAAGCAGACUGGUGGCAGGCAGUUUUUCCUGUACAGUUUCAAAAAUGAGAGUAUCAGAGGAAGUAUUUGCAUAGCAAAGCUUUUGAGCAAAUGCAGAUCUCCCUUUGAGGAUCACUGGGCACUGUGAAACUCUGGUGAAACUCAGGCUAGCUUGGUUUGAGUAGCACUGUUUUCAUGGAGGUCUCCUCAGUGUACAGCCAGUCCUUCCAUGUGGCAGACUGUUUGAGAUCUCGUCCUCACAUGCAGCUAAGUUUCCUCUUAAGUAGAUGAGCCAGGAAACUGUGUCAUGCAUUGAGCCUAUUGCUUCCAGCAUACUGGAGAGAAAUCUGAGGCUGAAGUAAGCCACUCCUUCAGCUUGUUUGUACCAGUCCUGCAUGAACCCAUACUUCAGAAGCACCAGCUUUGGUUGUUCACAAGCUCUUAAUGUCACUGCUGGGAUGUUCUUUUUUCUCCAACAUCCAGGGCUAGCAAGAACAAGUUUUCCUUUUCACCUUAUGCCCUAAAUAUUUACUAGAAAUAUUUUUAUUUAAUCGCCGUUGUAACCUGGAAUAGACAUCAGAGCCUUGGCAAGCUCUGCAAGGAUGUGAACUCCUUGGAGUGAAUUGAUGAAGAGUUAACCUUGGUGUAAAUUCUAGCAAAGAUGCAGAGGGCAGAGACAUUGGCUAUUUGAUUGCUGCAUGUCAUUGGGAUUAAAUGGUAUUUAGCUCCAGUUCUUUAGGUCAGUGCUAGCAGUGUCCUCUUCUUUAAUUUCCCAAAUCCUUCCUCAGCAAAGUGCUCUGGAGUGGUACAAAGAGCUUAGUUGACUUUAGCUCUGCUUAUUUCUUUGGUGCUCAUGAAAGUUCUGUUAUCUACCUGGGGAGAUGAUGCAGCUUUAAACAUAAAGCUGACCUGUCUUUCUCAGAAGGUGCUUGUCUGUUUGGAUAGAGAGGUCCAAACUGUCUUGCUGCAUUUUCCUGGACAGAGCAACAAGAUCAUGUUGGGUUUAUCAGCCUGCAUGAUGCUAAGUUAUUAGAGAACAUUAUUAAGGUAUUAGAGAGUGUCCAAAGGAGGGCAGUGAAGAUGGUGAAGGGCCUUGAGAGGGCUGUAUGAGGAGCGGCUGAGGUCACUCUGUCUCUUCAGCCUGGAGAAGAAGAGACUGAGGGAAGACCUCAUUGCAGUUACAACUUCCUCCUGAGAGGAAGAGGAUGGUCAGACAGUGAUCUCUUCUCUGUGGUGACCAGUGAGAGGACCCAAGGGAAUGACCUGAAGUUGUGUCAGGGGAGGUUUAGUGAGAUAUUAGACAAAGAUUCUUCACCCAGAGGGUGGUUGGGUGCUGGAACAGGCUCCCCAGGGAAGUGGUCGCAGCACCAAGCCUGACAGAGUUCAAGAAGAAUUUUGACAAUACUCUCAGGCACAUGGUGUGACUCUUGGGGAUGGUCCUGUGCAGGGCCAGGAUUUGGACUCAGUGAUCCUUGUGGGUCCCUUCCAACUUGGCAUAUUCUGUGAUUCUGUAAAGUUCACUUGGCUUUAACUUUUGUUGCUCUGACAAAUAGAGAAUUGGCUUGGUGAGGAGACUGCGACAAAGCUGCUUGUGUCAGGGACUUGAAGAGCCACACAUGGGACACUGUUCUGUGGUGUGCUUACUGUCUGCAUGUGUCUCUGCACAGACCUGAGCCAACAGUGUGCUGCCUUUUCACCCCCACUGUGGCAUGUGAAAGGUGUAUGACAUCCGUUACUGUCCUGCUAGCUGAAGGAAGAACCAUUCUGGGCUAGACUGUGUAGGGCCAACAGCCUGGUUGGAAGCCCUUGGAAUUGUGUGAAACACUCAGCUGAAGGGAGAAAGGGAGUGAGACCAUUCCUAACUGUUAUGGUGAAUAUUCAUACCAUUACGUCAUCUGAAGAGGGUAUGCCGUGUUUGAGGAGGGGGGGUGUUUUGCUGUGGGGAAAGAGUUGAUCCAGGGUCUCAGCCCUGGCCAGAAACCAUCCCUGCCUUGCUGGGACAGCAGCAAAGCUGGGAGCCACUGACUCGCUGUGUUGUGCUGGAAUCAAAGCAGCCCAGGGGUCACCCCUGCCCCAGCUGCCACACUGCCACAGUCUCACCGGCGCUGCCAGAGUGCCACAUGGAACUGCUGCUGUUCACUUGCCAUGUGGAUUCGCUGCCUGUGCCGGAGCCCCUGCUGCCACUACACAGCCCAGUCAAGCCAAGUGGGCCAAGGCACAAGGCACUGCAUCGGGGGUAACAUGUGGCAGAGAACAAGGAGACUCUGAACUGGUACCACUACUGCAGUUUUAGUUUAGUUAACUAAAUCGGAUGGAGUGGCCAUUUUGGUGGUGUGGCUCCUGUGAGCAGCACAGUUCUGUUUUUUUUUACUUUUGCCCCUGUUCUUCUAUGGUUUUCUUUUGUUUGGUUGGGUGGACAGGGUGGUUGGCAGGGAGGACCCUCCACCAUUCUCUUUUCCCUUUGUUCCUGGGGGACCGCGUGAUGCGGUAAACUUUUUUUGUGGGUAAGCCAUUUCCUUUGUAUCUUUGUGGUGCUGCUAUCUUUCCUUGUUAGUAAACUUAUUUUUUCACUUAAAA